rnacentral:rRNA from 1 species
CUUUGCGAUGGAUCACUUGGCUAUUGUGACGAUGAAGAACGUAGCAAGUUGCGAAAAGUAAUGUGACAUGCAAAACUCGUGAAUCAUCGAAUUUUCGAACAUAUCCAAUGCUUCUCUCUUCUACGGAAUUGCGAAGCGCUUACUUGUGAGUGCCAGUUUUUCUUACUUACUGGAACUGAGAAAGUGAAAACGAAGCCGGGUUUCCGGAUUUCUCUCUUCCAUCAGUAACCGAAAGGUGGACUUAUGACAGUUCUCUUUUGUAAACUCCUGGCCUCAUCUGUGAGAGGUUACCCACUAAAUUUAAGCAUAUUAAUAA